rnacentral:lncRNA from 1 species
AUUUCUUACCAGCAGUCCAGUGUGGCUGCUGGGCAGGCAGGCAGGGGGCGCACAGGCUGAGUAAGCAGCGCUUAGUGAUGCCGGGAGCCGGACUGACGUCAUAUUCUGGCUCCCGGCUUCAUUAAGCGGCGCAGAGGAAGCUGACCAGGAAGAGCUCAGGUGAGUAUGCUCCUUCGCUGCCCGCUGCCAGCCUUGGGGGGGCUCAAAAGUGGCCAGCCGGUCAGCUCUUGAGCCCCCCAGGAUGCGAGGCAAGCAAGGG